rnacentral:misc_RNA from 1 species
GUUGCAUAUUUCUCAGAUGUUACCCUCACCCUGCAGCUCUCGUUUAGCUCUGUUUGCAAAGAAAGUAAAAGAAAUCACCUACUUGUCACCCAAUGACACUUUGAGCUGGCGCCUUUAUCAGUCCGACUUCAUUCAUCAAAAGUCUCACGUUCUCUGCAUCUUUCCAUCUUCCAACUGCAGAAUAGAUCUUUCCCAACAGUAUAUAGUUUCCUGUGUUCUCCGGCUCCAGCUUAAACAGCCACCUUGCAGACAAUUCUCCCAGUUCCACAUUUUCAUGUAUCACACAGGCACCAAGUAGUGCACCCCAGAUGG